AAUGAACGCUGGCGGCAGGCCUAAUACAUGCAAGUCGAGCGGAUGAAGGGGGCUUUCCCUCGGAUUAAGCGGCGGACGGGGGUGUAAUGCCCAGGAAUAUGCCCGGUCGUGGGGGAUAAGGUCAGUUAAGGGGCGCUAAUACCGCACAGGUCCUGAGGGUGAAGGGGGGGGUUCAUUGGACCUACGCCUUUUAGAUGACCCUAGGUGGGAUUUGCGAGUCGGUGGGGUAAGGGCUUACCAAGGCGACGAUCCGCAACUGACCUGAGAGGAUGAUCGGUCACACUGGAACUGAGACACGGUCCAGACUCCUACGGGAGGCAGCAGUGGGGAAUAUUGGGCAAUGGGCGAAAGCCUGAUCCAGCCAUGCCGCGUGUGUGAAGAAGGUCUUCGGAUUGUAAAGCACUUUAAGUUGGGAGGAAGAGCAGUAUGUUAAAACCUUGCUGUUUUGACGGUACCAAAAGAGUAAGCACCGGCUAACUACGUG
rnacentral:rRNA from 1 species